UUACGGGAGGCAGCAGUCGAGAAUUUUUCACAAUGGGCGCAAGCCUGAUGGAGCGACGCCGCGUGGGGGAUGAAUGGCUUCGGCCCGUAAACCCCUGUCAUUUGCGAUCAAACCUUAUUAUUUAAAAGAUGAUAAGUUGAUAGUAGCGAAAGAGGAAGGGACGGCUAACUCUGUGCCAGCAGCCGCGGUAAUACAGAGGUCCCAAGCGUUGUUCGGAUUCACUGGGCGUAAAGGGUGCGUAGGUGGUGGGGUAAGUCGGAUGUGAAAGCUCGGAGCUCAACUCCGAAAUGGCAUUGGAAACUACCCUGCUAGAGGAUUGGAGGGGGGACUGGAAUACUUGGUGUAGCAGUGAAAUGCGUAGAUAUCAAGUGGAACACCAGUGGCGAAGGCGAGUCCCUGGACAAUACCUGACACUGAGGCACGAAAGCUAGGGGAGCAAACAGGAUUAGAUACCCCGGUA
rnacentral:rRNA from 1 species